rnacentral:rRNA from 1 species
CCUACGGGGUGCUGCAGUAGGGAAUCUUUCACAAUGGGCGAAAGCCUGAUGGAGCAACGCCGCGUGCAGGAUGAAGGCCUUCGGGUUGUAAACUGCUUUUAUAAGCGAGAAAUAUGAUGGUAACUUAUGAAUAAGGAUCGGCUAACUACGUGCCAGCAGCCGCGGUCAUACGUAGGAGCCGAGCAUUAUCCGGAGUUACUGGGUGUAAAGAGUUGGGUAGGUGGCCUGAGAAGUAGCUAGUGAAAUCUGGUGGCUCAACCAUUCAGACUAUUAGCUAAACUGUUAAGCUCGAGAGCGGUAGAGGUAAGUGGAAUUUCUAGUGUAGGAGUGAAAUCCGUAGAUAUUAGAAGGAACACCAGUAGCGUAGGCAGGUUACUGGGACGGUUCUGACACUGAGGCACGAAAGCGUAGGGAGCAAACGGGAUUAGAUACCCGGGUAGUC